GACGAACGCUGGCGGCGUGCUUAACACAUGCAAGUCGAACGGAAAGGCCCUGCUUUUGUGGGGUGCUCGAGUGGCGAACGGGUGAGUAACACGUGAGUAACCUGCCCUUGACUUUGGGAUAACUUCAGGAAACUGGGGCUAAUACCGGAUAGGAGCUCCUGCUGCAUGGUGGGGGUUGGAAAGUUUCGGCGGUUGGGGAUGGACUCGCGGCUUAUCAGCUUGUUGGUGGGGUAGUGGCUUACCAAGGCUUUGACGGGUAGCCGGCCUGAGAGGGUGACCGGCCACAGUGGGACUGAGAUAUGGGCCAGACUCAUACGGGAGGCAGCAGUGGGGAAUAUUGCACAAUGGGCGGAAGCCUGAUGCAGCAACGCCGCGUGCGGGAUGACGGCCUUCGGGUUGGAAACCGCUUUCGCCUGUGACGAAGCGUGAGUGACGGUAAUGGGUAAAGAAGCACCGGCUAACUACGU
rnacentral:rRNA from 1 species